rnacentral:lncRNA from 1 species
GGGGUCGACUCCGCUGUUAUAUCUCCGAAAAACAUGUCUUCUGGAAUUCUCUGAGAGAGUCGACUCCGCUCUUUCAGGGGACGUCUCCGCUGCCUUAACACCGAAAAAGACAUCCUCUGGAAAAUCCUGAGAGAGCCGACUCCGCUACCUCGGGGACGACUCGGGAGGUUUACUUUUUACUUGCGGGGACGCCUCCGCUUACUGUGGAGACGACUCGCGCAUAUCACUUGAAAUCGGCCUUUCUGCCGCUUCUGAGAGAGUCGACUCCGCUACUGAGA